CUAAAUGCAAUGAAGAGAAAAAGUAACUUUUGCCUAUUUCCAGAGAGUCUGCGGGUGGUGCGAGCAGACAAUAGAAUUCAGUGAAAUCACAUCUCUGAGCAAGAAAGCUGAACCGACAGUUUCCGCUGUCCCAAGUAGGCUGACUCGGUUGUGCCCGUUACAGCGCUGACGUUUCGAACGGAACGUUAUGAGGCGGUCUCUGUGAAGAUGCCGCAAAAAAAGGUGGAACCACGACUUCAAUCGUCCUUUAA
rnacentral:ncRNA from 1 species